UUUUGGAAACAAUACCGCACCGUGCGGAGUGGCCUCCUCCCGCCCCGGCCUGUGCCCGCCGCCGCCGCCGCCCCUGCCUGCGCCUCCCGCCUCCUGCCGCAGCCCGCUGGGCUUUUUCCCUCCUUCCCAAUCGAGUCUGGGCGUCCAGCCCCCGAGUGCUCGUCACGCUGGACCCUGGCGCGGAGCCCUGGCAUCACGACUCGGAGGCCGAGACUCUCUCCUGGAGUCACCCAGGUCUGGGGUGUGUGUGUGUGUGUGUGUGUGUGUGUGUGUUCCUAGUCACUGUCGAGGAUCUGGGUGUCUGACUACUGCCUUCUCCUAAGAGGAGGAGGAGUCUAAGUUCAGCAUCCCUCUUCCAGCCCUUAGGGGUUGGGAUGGCUGCAGCGGGGCUUGAGUUCCUUUGCUAGGAAUAAAGCAUUCCCUGGCCCUGUUCUCAGGAAGUGCCCUCCU
rnacentral:lncRNA from 10 species